GCACUGCUGAGGAGUCCCACAAUAGGACGAAACAGUCGUCCAGUGC
rfam:Schistosoma mattheei strain Denwood, Zambia genome assembly, scaffold: SMTD_scaffold0018680